rnacentral:rRNA from 1 species
CGCCAGUGUAUAUCUAUGCUGCUGCGGUUAAAAAGCUCGUAGUUGGAUCUGCGUGCUUGGAGCCGGUCCGUCGAUGUUCGGCGUGCACUGGCCUCCAGCACUGAAUGGCCGGUUUUCGCUUGAUGCACUUCACCGUGUGUCUAGCGUGGCUGGCAGGUUUACUUUGAAAAAAUUAGAGUGCUCAACACAAGCGACUCGCUUGAAUACUGGUGCAUGGAAUAAUAGAAUAGGACUUCGGUUCUAUUUUGUUGGUUUUCGGAACACGAAGUAAUGAUUAAGAGGGACAGACGGGGGCAUUCGUAUCGCGACGUUAGAGGUGAAAUUCUUGGAUCGUCGCGAGACGGACAACUGCGAAAGCAUUUGCCAAGAAUGUUUUCAUUAAUCAAGAACGAAAGUUAGAGGUU